UACGAAGGGGGCUAGCGUUGUUCGGAAUCACUGGGCGUAAAGCGCACGUAGGCGGAUCUUUAAGUCAGGGGUGAAAUCCUGGAGCUCAACUCCAGAACUGCCUUCGAUACUGGCGAUCUUGAGUCCGGAAGAGGUGAGUGGAACUCCUAGUGUAGAGGUGGAAUUCGUAGAUAUUAGGAAGAACACCAGUGGCGAAGGCGGCUCACUGGUCCGGUACUGACGCUGAGGUGCGAAAGCGUGGGGAGCAAACAGG
rnacentral:rRNA from 1 species